CAGUCGCCGCGGUAAUACGAAGGGUGCAAGCGUUACUCGGAAUUACUGGGCGUAAGGCGUGCGUAGGUGGUGGUUUAAGUCCGUUGUGAAAGCCCUGGGCUCAACCUGGGAAUUGCAGUGGAUACUGGGUCACUAGAGUGUGGUAGAGGAUAGUGGAAUUUCCGGUGUAGCAGUGAAAUGCGUAGAGAUCGGAAGGAACAUCUGUGGCGAAGGCGACUAUCUGGGCCAACACUGACACUGAGGCACGAAAGCGUGGGGAGCAAACAGGAUUAGAUACCCCUGUAGUCCCUGUCUCUUAUAC
rnacentral:rRNA from 1 species